GACGAACGCUGGCGGCGUGCCUAAUACAUGCAAGUUGAGCGCUGAAGGUUGGUACUUGUACCAACUGGAUGAGCAGCGAACGGGUGAGUAACGCGUGGGGAAUCUGCCUUUGAGCGGGGGACAACAUUUGGAAACGAAUGCUAAUACCGCAUAAAAACUUUAAACACAAGUUUUAAGUUUGAAAGAUGCAAUUGCAUCACUCAAAGAUGAUCCCGCGUUGUAUUAGCUAGUUGGUGAGGUAAAGGCUCACCAAGGCGAUGAUACAUAGCCGACCUGAGAGGGUGAUCGGCCACAGUGGGACUGAGACACGGCCCAAACUCCUACGGGAGGCAGCAGUAGGGAAUCUUCGGCAAUGGACGAAAGUCUGACCGAGCAACGCCGCGUGAGUGAAGAAGGGUUUCGGAUCGUAAAACUCUGUUGGUAGAGAAGAACGUUGGUGAGAGUGGAAAGCUCAUCAAGUGACGGUAACUACCCAUAAAGGGACGGCUAACUACGUG
rnacentral:rRNA from 1 species